rnacentral:lncRNA from 1 species
UACUUUUUUAGCAUCUAGAACAAAUUCCCUUCAUGUCCAUCCAGCUCUGAGUCAACUCAUGUAUCCAUGGAUACUGUGGUUUUUUUUUUUUUUUAAAUCAUAGCAAAAGGCAUGAGAAGCUGGUAGCUCUUUACCAAACAGGAACGGAAAGAACAUCAUAUCAAAACCAAGGGACUAUUUAAAAUCUAAUGCGAAAGCCCAGAUUCUACAUUGCUGGCAGAAGCUAAAUGCAUCAUGAUGAGGGUGUCAAAAAUAAUUCUACUCUUAGGUGUAAAGAGGUGCCAAAGAUGCUUAUUCUAACCACUGUGAGUCACAGAGAAAGCCACAUAGGAAACCCUGAAGAGGAUGGCCAGCCAGCCACAAAAAGGAAGGCAUGAAUACACUACUGAUCUCAUGUGCAAUGAGUCAAAAAGUCAUAGAUCUCAUGGUCACAGAAGAGGACGUAGAAGAAGACAUCACUGAACAUUUCCAUCUUGAUGGUGUUCUGUGCCCUUGAUUUCAAAAGUCACCAGACUCAUAGAAGCUUUUGUCCAACAAAAAAUUGAAACAGAACAACCAUCCAUGAUAACACCCAGGAUAAUUUCCUGAGAUUAAAGGAGCCUGCAACAGUUUGAUGAUUGCCACCUGUCAAUAAAAUGCUGAAAUUUCAUUCA